ACUUGUAUAAAGACAUAUUAUCAGAAAAUUUUGGAUUAGUUCUUCAUAAGUCUGCAACGAUGAAUACCCAAAUAUAUCUAUUUUUAUUGGUUGCCAUUUUUGCGAUUGUUUCGAUCUUUGACGUCAUGGCCGAACCAUCAGCUGAAGCCGAGCUUGUUUCGCUUUCACGAUCUAAAAGGGAUCUUUUGAGUGUUAUUGUGGAAAUUAUACAUGGAAUUCUAGAAAAAGUAUUAGGCCUAUUAGGCCUUUAAACUACAAUACACUUAAGAUGAUUUAGGCUAUCAAAAAUCCAUAUGUAAUUAAUUAUAACACUAUAUAUUUAGCAAAAUUGUCAAUUAUUACAAAUAUUCUAUGAUAAUGUCUAUAUUAUUGUCAAAAAUUGCACAAAAUAAUAUUUUUCGUUUCGGAAUUAUAUAUAUUGUAAUUCUGUAAUUAUUAUUUUAUUAUCUUGUACUAAAAUAUAUAUUGUGUUGAAAUAAAUAUGCUGCAAAAGUA